AGAGUUACCUGGUCAAAGCCUUUGGUUUCACGCUGAGACCAGCGACUGAUUUCCAAGUUCGCCGUUUUCAAAAUUUCUUGGUUAAGUAACUUGUAGCUUAGCUUCUUUUUUAUUUUAGAACUAGAACUUCUUUUUAUUCUGCAUGCUUUGCAUAUUUUGUAA
rfam:Glossina palpalis gambiensis isolate 146720 unplaced genomic scaffold Scaffold1005, whole genome shotgun sequence.